AGCACCUUCCGUAGCCAAAAGGG
rnacentral:snRNA from 1 species